rnacentral:misc_RNA from 1 species
CAGUACGUAAACUGGUUAGCUCCUCCUCCUAGACUGAUGACAGAAUGUAUUUCAGAACAAGCUAUUUCUACUUUGAUUAUUCCAUCGUGGAAAAGUGCAUCUUUCAUAUUUUUGGCAGACGUUAGUCGACAAUAGAUGCAAUUUUAGAGGUUUUGUUAAGGAAAUCAUAAAUUUAGGAAAAAAGAAAUGUUGUCUUAUCAGGAAACGGAAACAAUGAUUGUUUCGCCAAAAACCCACUGCCAUUUGAUAUGCUGGCGUUAAAAUGUGUUUUUAGUUAAACAGGGAGAGGACAACAUGACUCAAAAUGUUAUUAUUUUAAUGAGAAUCUAAUAAUUUCCUAAUAUUGACAGGUACUGGUUUGAAAGAUACGCUGAAAUGGAAACUAGAUGAACCAGGCAUACAAGGACAUUUACAGAUGCACAUUUCGAGGUAUAUUGCCGGCAUUCUGUUACAAUCUAGAGCAGACAAUACUUUUGCUAAGUAUAAAAACGCAUUCAAUCAGUUUGAAAGAUUCUGUGAUUCCAAAACAUUGACUUCAAAGCCAGCGCUACCUAUAAGUGUCGCCAGGUAUUUCACUCAUUUACCUGACGAAGGCAUGUCGGAUCACAUAGUGUACGCAGCAUACUACGGUAUAAAAUGGGCACAUAGUAAAAACGCUCUACAAGACUCAACAAAUUACUUACUGGUAUCUUCACAGAGUUUUACGCAAUAUCCUGAAGGACACUCGCAGAUGAAUUUAAACGAAUGAGCAAAGCACGUGCCCCGAAUGCAAGGGUUAUAUCUACAUGGGUCAGUCACUAAAAAAUGUAUAGCGUACAACUUGUGGAAGGUGUUCAACCUUAUGGGACAAGGCAGUUUUCACAAGAAACACAAAUUAUCACAAACACUUCUGAUGGGAAUGCAUGCAGCUCCAGUCCAUGCUUAAGAGGGACCUGCUUUGGGAAUGGGACAGAAUAUCAUUGCUUUUGUCCUUCUGGAUUCACUGGGAAAACUUGCGAAACUACUCUUGAUGCUUGUAGCACUAAUUCCUGUCUGAGGGGUAUAUGACUCCAUCACCACACAGACUAUUAUUGUGUUUGUCCUUCGGGGUACACUGGUAAAAACUGUGAUUCAAUAAUAAAUGCAUGUAAAUCUAAUCCGUGUGUGAGAGGCGUUUGCUACCACCAUCAGACACAGUUCCAUUGUGUCUGUCCUCCAGGGUACUAUGGAAAAAGUUGUGAAACAGAUAACAACGAAUGUUUCUCACAGCCAUGUUUAAACGGGAGGAUAUGUCUUGAUCAGAUAGGGAACUUCUCAUGCAACUGCCCAUCGGGAUUUACCGGAGACCGUUGUCAGACAGACAUCGAUGAAUGUUCAUCCAGCCCAUGCCUCAAUGGUGGGGUAUGUAAAGAGGGAAUAAACCGAUAUGUCUGUCAGUGUCCAACAGGUUUUGGUGGCGACAGGUGUCAAAAUGGUUCGUUUCCUAUUCCUUUUUCUUUUUUGCUCGGCUGUACGAAGCGGUGAACUAUCUCAAUAGUAUUUGCCCCGGCGUCGAUGUUAGCGGUUACAG